GAGUUUGAUCCUGGCUCAGGAUGAACGCUAGCUACAGGCUUAACACAUGCAAGUCGAGGGGCAGCAUGGUCUUAGCUUGCUAAGGCCGAUGGCGACCGGCGCACGGGUGAGUAACACGUAUCCAACCUGCCGUCUACUCUUGGACAGCCUUCUGAAAGGAAGAUUAAUACAAGAUGGCAUCAUGAGUCCGCAUGUUCACAUGAUUAAAGGUAUUCCGGUAGACGAUGGGGAUGCGUUCCAUUAGAUAGUAGGCGGGGUAACGGCCCACCUAGUCUUCGAUGGAUAGGGGUUCUGAGAGGAAGGUCCCCCACAUUGGAACUGAGACACGGUCCAAACUCCUACGGGAGGCAGCAGUGAGGAAUAUUGGUCAAUGGGCGAGAGCCUGAACCAGCCAAGUAGCGUGAAGGAUGACUGCCCUAUGGGUUGUAAACUUCUUUUAUAAAGGAAUAAAGUCGGGUAUGGAUACCCGUUUG
rnacentral:rRNA from 1 species